rnacentral:rRNA from 1 species
GCCGGUGGCUAUACAGAUGUGGAAACGCCCAGCUCCAUCCCGAACCUGGAAGCUAAGCGCAUCAUGGCCGAUAAUACUCUCCCUUACUGGGACGGAAACGUAGGUCGCUGCCGGCU